UCCCCGAUAGUCUAGUGGUGAGGAUAUCUGCUUGUCAACACACCCAGGGUCACUGAUCCCGGGUUGAUUCGCAGGGGACCGGGGUUCAAUUCCCCGUCGAGGAG
rfam:Glomerella graminicola M1.001 genomic scaffold supercont1.4, whole genome shotgun sequence.